UUCCUCAGUAGCUCAGUGGUAGAGCGAUCGGCUGUUAACCGAUUGGUCGUAGGUUCAAAUCCUUCCUGAGGAGU
rnacentral:tRNA from 7 species